rnacentral:rRNA from 1 species
UAUGACCUACGGGGCGCAGCAGUGGGGAAUAUUGCACAAUGGGGGGAACCCUGAUGCAGCGAUGCCGCGUGGAGGAAGAAGGUUUUCGGAUUGUAAACUCCUUUUAUCAGGGACGAUAAUGACGGUACCUGAAGAAAAAGCUCCGGCUAACUACGUGCCAGCAGCCGCGGUAAUACGUAGGGAGCGAGCGUUGUCCGGAAUUACUGGGUGUAAAGGGAGCGUAGGCGGGCGGGCAAGUCAGAUGUGAAAACUGAGGGCUCAACUUU